rnacentral:rRNA from 1 species
GUAGGGAAUAUUGGGCAAUGGAUGCAAGUCUGACCCAGCCAUGCCGCGUGUGUGAAGAAGGUCUUCGGAUUGUAAAGCACUUUAAGUUGGGAGGAAGGGCAGUAAGUUAAUACCUUGCUGUUUUGACGUUACCGACAGAAUAAGCACCGGCUAACUUCGUGCCAGCAGCCGCGGUAAUACGAAGGGUGCAAGCGUUAAUCGGAAUUACUGGGCGUAAAGCGCGCGUAGGUGGUUUUGUAAGUUGGAGGUGAAAUCCCCGGGCUCAACCUGGGAACUGCAUCCAAAACUGCAUGACUAGAGUACGGUAGAGGGUAGUGGAAUUGCCUGUGUAGCGGUGAAAUGCGUAGAUAUAGGAAGGAACACCAGUGGCGAAGGCGACUACCUGGACUGAUACUGACACUGAGGUGCGAAAGCGUGGGGAGCAAACAGGAUUAGAUACCCGAGUAGUCC